rnacentral:rRNA from 1 species
GGGGGGGGGGGGGGGGGGGGGGGGGGGGGGGGGGGCGGGCGGAUGGGGGGGGCUUGCGCCUGGAGUCAGCGGCGGACGGGUGAGUAAUGCCUAGGAGGCUGCCUGGUAGUGGGGGAUAACGUCCGGAAACGGGCGCUAAUACCGCAUACGUCCUGAGGGAGAAAGUGGGGGAUCUUCGGACCUCACGCUAUCAGCUGAGCCUAGGUCGGAUUAGCUAGUUGGUGGGGUAAAGGCCUACCAAGGCGACGAUCCGUAACUGGUCUGAGAGGAUGAUCAGUCACACUGGAACUGAGACACGGUCCAGACUCCUACGGGAGGCAGCAGUGGGGAAUAUUGGACAAUGGGCGAAAGCCUGAUCCAGCCAUGCCGCGUGUGUGAAGAAGGUCUUCGGAUUGUAAAGCACUUUAAGUUGGGAGGAAGGGCAGUAAGUUAAUACCUUGCUGUUUUGACGUUACCAACAGAAUAAGCACCGGCUAACUUCGUG